GCGGGGGUUGCCAAGCCAGGUCAAAGGCGCAGGGCUUAGGACCCUGUCUCGCAGGAGUUCGCGAGUUCAAAUCUCGUCCCCCGCA
rfam:Candidatus Syntrophoarchaeum butanivorans isolate BOX1 BOX1_11reassembly_contig01, whole genome shotgun sequence.